rfam:Burkholderia glumae BGR1 chromosome 1, complete sequence.
UGUCUCCUCCACCCUCCUCCAAAGGUGGAUUGAGCCCGAACGACAGUUCGGGCUUUUUUUC